rnacentral:tRNA from 1 species
GCUAUUUUGACAGAGAAAUGUGAUGGUUUUAGAAAUCAUAAAUGUAUAAUAUUUAUACAUAUAGUA